UUACAAAAAGAAUAAACUAUUUACCUAGAGAAUCCUAUUUCCUUGAUGUUGGAUCUUGGAUCUCAAUUUUCACUUGCAUCUUUGCAGGUCUAUUAUUAUUAUCCAUUUUCUGCUCUUUCUGAUCCGGUUAAACUCUACAAUGAUCUUAGAUGGAACAUUAGUAGACCCCAAGGUUUUGAAGCAGUGAUGCGUGUUAGAUGUAGCUGGGGUCUUGAAGUUCAAGAAUACUCUGGAAAAUUUUGCAAAAGUGUUCCUAGUGAUAUUGAUCUUCCUGUGUGCACUUCUUUAUACCACUGUGUAUGGGCAACGAAGGAUUUGCGUUAUUAAUCUCUCCCUUACUUGCACUGAUAAUAUCAGCAGUUUGCAGCAGUUUGUGCCAAUCCACUAAUUUGGAUGCUCAGUUUACUUGUUUGCUCAAGCAAGGUUGCAGCUGUGAUGAGGUUCCAGUCGCUAGUUCCCACUAGGUGUCGAGGUGGUUUUAUAUUAUCGGACUUGUGUUUCCUUGUCAGUGAACUACAUACUUGUGAUGUAUGUGUUUUGCACUUUGGAUUUUAUAUCGUGCUCGGGUAUGAUGCCCAUGCUUC